AUGAACGCUGGCGGCGUGCCUAAUACAUGCAAGUCGAGCGAACAGACGAGGAGCUUGCUCCUCUGACGUUCGCGGCGGACGGGUGAGUAACACGUGGAUAACCUACCUAUAAGACUGGGAUAACUUCGGGAAACCGGAGCUAAUACCGGAUAAUAUAUUGAACCGCAUGGUUCAAUAGUGAAAGACGGUUUUGCUGUCACUUAUAGAUGGAUCCGCGCCGCAUUAGCUAGUUGGUAAGGUAACGGCUUACCAAGGCAACGAUGCGUAGCCGACCUGAGAGGGUGAUCGGCCACACUGGAACUGAGACACGGUCCAGACUCCUACGGGAGGCAGCAGUAGGGAAUCUUCCGCAAUGGGCGAAAGCCUGACGGAGCAACGCCGCGUGAGUGAUGAAGGUCUUCGGAUCGUAAAACUCUGUUAUUAGGGAAGAACAAAUGUGUAAGUAACUAUGCACGUCUUGACGGUACCUAAUCAGAAGGCCACGGCUAACUACAUG
rnacentral:rRNA from 1 species